rnacentral:rRNA from 1 species
AUUGAACGCUGGCGGCAGGCCUAACACAUGCAAGUCGAGCGGAUGAAGGGAGCUUGCUCCUGGAUUCAGCGGCGGACGGGUGAGUAAUGCCUAGGAAUCUGCCUGGUAGUGGGGGAUAACGUCCGGAAACGGGCGCUAAUACCGCAUACGUCCUGAGGGAGAAAGUGGGGGAUCUUCGGACCUCACGCUAUCAGAUGAGCCUAGGUCGGAUUAGCUAGUUGGUGGGGUAAAGGCCUACCAAGGCGACGAUCCGUAACUGGUCUGAGAGGAUGAUCAGUCACACUGGAGCUGAGACACGGUCCAGACUCCUACGGGAGGCAGCAGUGGGGAAUAUUGGACAAUGGGCGAAAGCCUGAUCCAGCCAUGCCGCGUGUGUGAAGAAGGUCUUCGGAUUGUAAAGCACUUUAAGUUGGGAGGAAGGGCAGUAAGUUAAUACCUUGCUGUUUCGACGUUACCAACAGAAUAAGCACCGGCUAACUUCGUG